UGCUGUGUCCAUAGCCCUCCCCGAGGUAGGGAUGACUGCAAAGGCCAAGCCACGAAGUUGGAACUGGUUUUAUUUUAUUUCCUUUUCCACUGCCACUGUCCUUUUUCUGCCUCUCGUUACGUAUACUGCUUCAAGGGAAAAGCGCAGUAUCAUAUCAUCGUGACACAAGCCCGUGUUUUUUCUCUCUCAGAAGACACUGCAGGUACCUGGCGAGAGAACAGCUCUGUGCAGAACCGACAGGGAGGCGCGGACACCCCGGGGCCGUCCUUUGGCUACCGCUCUUCACCUUGCUCCAAGGUUUCUCUCCUAGCUCCAGCCAGGGAAUGGGGAGGCCCAGGGCUAGAAAGAGCUGUGGUGUCUAACACCUGCGUGGCACCUCGCCUGUCACAGGUGCGCACCACCCCUGUGGGACACGGCAGCUCUACACAAACCCCAUCAGGCCCCUGCAACGAGAGACCGAGAGGAAACACGCUGCUGCUGUGCAAAAUGUGGACCAUGUGUGGGAACUAUUUACUCAGAGUGCAACUGCAGGCACCAGGCGAGGGGCUGGCAGAGCCGGGGGGCGGCGGAGAGAGAGGCUACAUCUCUCUCGCCUUUUUUCCUCUCCCCUAAAGCCAAACCACGUCGCUGCGUCUGUAACGGUGCGUUUUACCGACUUUCUCGCUGGGCACAUGUUUUUUUUAUAAGUCCAAGGCUUUUGCGAUUCGCUUUUGUGUUUGCCCACCUCAAGCCUCUGCGGGCAAAGGGUUAAAUCUUCGGAGCAGUGGAAGGAAGCAGCUGAGUUUCAACAACAACAAAAAAAAAAAAGGUGGGGGGAGAAGAAAGGAGCGGGAGCAGGGAAGAAGCGAGGCGAGAGGGCUGCACGGUCCCCUGAUUGUCCCUUUGGCUGCUGUAGAAUAAUAAAAAUAAUUAAUAACAAUAGUAACCCCCA
rnacentral:lncRNA from 1 species